AUAGUCUAUUUUACAAGUGGACUAUUACAUGGAUAUAUGGUAUGCAAUAGACUAAUGCUGAUGAUGAGCUGCUGUUCUUUCACGUGAUGGAAAAUGCAUAUAUAUGUUAGUUUUGUUUUGAUGCAAAUUAGCGUGAAUAUCAUUGUAGGUAAUUUUAUGCUACUAUGUAGGCAUAUUGAUGAUACUAUGUAGACAAAUUAAUAGUAUUAUGUAGGAAAGUUUAUAUUGGCAAAGAUAGUGAUAUAGCAGAUAUAUAUUGUGCUAACCAUACAAGUGCUAUUGAUGUAGCAUCUCAUUAUUGUAGGGUGUUCAACAAGUUUUUUUCGCAGUAGUCAUGUUUCAGGCAUUCUAUGUUCAAUGUACCUAUCUUUUAGGGGAUGUCGUUAAGCAUUGAGUAGGCAGUCUACUGUCUAGGCAAAUUAUUGUACCAUGUAGGCAAAUCGAUUCUACUGUGUAGGCAAAUUCGACAUAUAUAGUGAUGCAGGAGACGUGAAGAGUGCUAAUGGUGGUGUUAGGCAAUCUUUUUUCCUUUUGUACUGCUGUUGCUAUAACUGUUUAAUGAGGAGUCAUUUUUUUCUUGCAGGAUUAUGUUCAGUUUUUCUUGCAGGAUUAUGUUCAGUUUGUUGAAAAAGAAGGCCGAGCUGGCAGCUUCAAAUUGAGAAUGCCAUCUGCAGUGUGCCUUUUUGGCCCUGUGCAGAAUGUUCCACUGCAAACUAAUAGCAUGGACUGUGUUGAUGCAGUGGGAACAUUGGGAUGGGCGUAUUCUACCAACACUCAAGGAUCUGGUUUUUUCUCUUUAGUUUCUUUUGCACACCUCAUUUGAUCAUCCAAGAUAGCAAAUCUGCUACAAAAAUCAACGAAACAUCCUUUUGUUACUUUUUCCUGUGUAAUUGUUAUUCAACUGGAAGCAAAUUGGAUAAAGUCACAAUUACUGGGCAGAUUAUGCAAAUCCCUGUAUAGAUAUCUA